GUGGGGAAUAUUGGACAAUGGGCGAAAGCCUGAUCCAGCCAUGCCGCGUGUGUGAAGAAGGUCUUCGGAUUGUAAAGCACUUUAAGUUGGGAGGAAGGGCAGUAAGUUAAUACCUUGCUGUUUUGACGUUACCGACAGAAUAAGCACCGGCUAACUUCGUGCCAGCAGCCGCGGUAAUACGAAGGGUGCAAGCGUUAAUCGGACUUACUGGGCGUAAAGCGCGCGUAGGUGUUUUUGUAAGUUGGAGGUGAAAUCCCCGGGCACAACCUGGGAACUGCCUCCAAAACUGCAUGACUAGAGUACGGUAGAGGGUAGUGGAAUUUCCUGUGUAGCGGUGAACUGCGUAGAUAUAGGAAGGAACACCAGUGGCGAAGGCGACUACCUGGACUGAUACUGACACUGAGGUGCGAAAGCGUGGGGAGCAAACAGGAUUAGAUACCCCGGUAGUCC
rnacentral:rRNA from 1 species